AUGCAUUAAACAUUAAAUAUAGACGAAAACAAAAACGAAUUACACAGUUUAGCUGUAAAUCACGAGACGAAUCUUUUGAUUCUAGUUAGUCCAUUAUUGAAUAAUAUUUGUUACAAACAAACGAAAAUGCUACAGUACCGAAAACUUUUCAGUUUUCGGAACUAAACAAGGCCGAAAUAAAAGAAUAAAGUAGAGAAUUAUUUCAUUUCAAGAACUCCACCUAUUGUGACAUAAUUAAUGUCCCUUUCGUUUCAAAUAUAAUAAUUCGUAUUAGGACUCAACGGAGCCCAAAAUUCAUAAAAAUGAUAAAUAGUUAUUCAUAUUAACUAUGGAUACUUAAUCGUUGAAAUUUAUAUCAUCAAUAGAUUUACAUUAUUUCACACAUCAUUUAAUUAAAACCAAUCUUUUAGCAUUUGAUGACAUAUUAUAAAAGUAAUUGAUAGUCAAAAUGCAUUUCCAAAGACUUCGUUCUCCGCCUGAUGAUACUAAUAUGCUUUGUAAAAUUAAAUGGAAGGAAUACCUACUACAAAACUACAACUAACUAUUUCGAAAUUUACAACAAGACUAGGACUAUUACAUUUGAGCACAUGGUACCAUAGAACUACAAAUUUUCUCACAGCUGCCUUAGUGCCAAGAUACUUGUUGUUCUAUGAUGAGAAAACAGAAAAUUAUAGUUUUGUGACGGUACCAAGCAUCAAAAUAUAUAGUUGUAGCGAUCUGUGGGUUAUAUCAAAAAAAUGUAGUCGUAGCUAGUUCUGUGAAAUCUAUACUCAGUUUUGCAUUGUCUCAUGGCAUAUAUAUAACACAUGUACAUAAUUUUAAUAUAGGCCAAUAUGUACAAGCAAUACAAAUAAUCAACAAUAGGAUGUCUCCACUUACCAACCCUACCACCACCACUUUUCACAAAAAGAAAAAAAAAACUACCAACACCACAACGCGAGAGGGAGAGCCCUGACCCAACAAGCCUAGUGCACGAUGAUUUAGGCCUUGUUUAGAUGUGAAAAAAUUUUAGAUUUAGUUACUGUAGCACUUUCGUUUGUUUGUGACAAAUAUUAUCCAAUUAUAGACUAACUAGGAUCAAAAGAUUCAUCUCGUGAUUUACAGGUAAGCUGUGCAAUUAGUUUUUAUUUUUGUCUAUAUUUAAUGCUUUAUGCAUGUGCCGAAAGAUUCGAUGUGACGGAGAAUCUUGAAAACUUUUUGGUUUUCGGGGUGAACUAAACAAUGCCUUAGUCUAACAACCACACUAGCUAUACACAAUAUACAUCCUAACUAACAAUGUUUAAUAUAUAUGCUCAUUGUACAAUGCCAGUGCUACUCGAGCACAUUAUUCUGUGCGACAAAUUAAUAAUGGGCCGGGAGGGCACACACAGAUCAUGACCAAUCAGACGGCCGAGACUUUUGCAAGCAAGGAAAUGGAAAUAUAGUUUGGUGAUGCAGGAAGUGGAUCGAAUAAUUAUUUUUCGCUGGGGCAAAUCAACCAAGAAUCUAGCUAGUGGAGUAGCUCGAUCAGUUUGCGGCC
rnacentral:lncRNA from 1 species